rnacentral:tRNA from 1 species
GCUCGGGUGGCGGAAUCGGCAGACGCGCUAGCUUGAGGGGCUAGUAGGAGCAAUCUUGUGCGGGUUCAAGUCCCGCCCCGAGCACCA